AGUCACAUGUCCAAGCUAGCAAGUAACAGAGACAAGAAACUAAGGCAGAACUGCCUGACUUAGCAGCUCCCAUGUAAUUGCAGAGUUAUAAUGCUCAUUUGGAAGUUAUUGAAAACAACUGAGCUAAGUCUAAAAAAAUGGAGAAAGCCAGAUUCGUUCAUUACAGUGUUCAAUAAAGGUUUUAAAGAAGCACGGGUGGAACUCCUUUCAGCAAUGAAUUUGAGUCUAGAUGGAGAAUGAGAAAAGGUAGCACACAAAGUGACUUGCUAAUGCACAACAGCCUCAAGGAAGCUAAAAGUUUGAGAAUCAGCUUAGAAGUUUCUAUGUGAAGAGAAAACAGGAAGUCAUUCCAGCAGCAGCAGCCGCCUCUGCUCCACUCUUCGUCUUGCUCACACUCCAUGCUGCCAAAUGGAAACUAAGGUGUUCAGGGAAUGGGGCAUACUUCCACAAAUUCCAUUUUAAAAUGGAUUGAUCAAGAAGUCCUUCCUCGGGUUAACCCUUACAUGGUGUUAAGAAGAAUUUCACCAAGUGGAUCUCAUUAUUGCAGACCCAUUGAGAUUGGAAGCUUCCUUCCACAAAGGAGCAAUGCACUGUUAUGUGAAGACUGGUGGAUCUCUAGUCGGCUGCAGCUGAGAUACAGAAAGCAUGGUAAUAAGUGCAUAAUAGAUCAGCAAUUGGAAAUACUUCUUUCUUGACGUUAUACACCGUGUGUGUGUGUGUGUGUGUGUGUGUGUGUGUGUGUGUGUGUGUGUGUGUGUGUGUCUAUAUGUGGUGUGUGUGUGUUUGUGUGUGUGUAUUUAUAUUCAAUGUUCAUCUACUAAGGACAAGUUAACUGCCUCAAAUUGUCUCUGUGGCUGACAUCUGACAAUAAGAACAUUAAAUUCUUGUUUAUUUGGAGUUCACACAAAAGCCUGUACAUUUUGUUUUAUUUGUAAAUAGCAGGCUCACUACAUAUCCCUUACACUUACAUAUUUUGUGCCACCAUCAGAGAGAAAGAGAAAGCAUAAAAGUACUCAAUGUGUCAUAGACACAGUCAUUAUUUCUAGUCCAUGUUGAAAAUUACCAGAGUCAACAAGGAUAUUGAAAUCUUUAAAUUAAAGCCCCAAGAUAAAUCAGCAUUAAUAAGCAUUGCUUUCCUGUAGAUGUGAUGCUGAAAAUCUAUCAAAUGUGAAACUAGAACCAAAUAUGCUGUGGAGUUAAAUUUAAUGCAUCCUAAGAAUUCUGUCUGAGGCAGACACACUGCUUUUGUUUCUGAUACCACUUCAUUAUAAUUAGAACUGUCUGAAAACACCAGUUCUCAAAGUAGGGGAUUGUUAAUGCUGUGAGUUGAUUUUGAUAACUGUUAAUGAUUUUUUUCAGCUGAAGGUGUUUCUGAGAUAAAAGAUGUUUUUAUUUUAUUUUCAUUAUUUUCUUUAAACACAGAACUUAUAAAUCCUGAUGAUUUGGGGGAUCUAUUGGCAUACAACAAUUUUGUCCUUAUAAAGAAAAGCAUCAAAGUAGAAGAACUUGAUUACAGUAUCAGAGACUUGGUGUGCUAUCAUCAUGGUAGAAAGCAUGGGGGCACAUAGGCAGACAUGGUGCUGGAGGAGCUGAGAGUUUUACAUAUGAAUCUGCAGACAACAAGAAGAGAGAGACACUGGGCCUGGCUUGGGUCCUUAAGCCUUAGAGACAUACUUCCUCCAAUUGGCCACACCUCCUAAUCCCUGUAAGUAGCAAUAACCCCUAGUGAUCAAUCAUUUAAAUCAUGAGCUCAGGAGCCAUUUUUUAAACUACAUCAUCAAUAUAAACAACUGCACAGUAUACUUAUUUUUCUAGGAGUGUGUUUUACUCAGGAUGAUUUUUUUUCUAGUUUCAUCCAUUUGCCUGCAAAAUUCAUGUCAUUUUUAAAAUUAUUUAUUCUUUCAUAUAAGAUUUCCUUCCUUCUUGUCUCAAGUCCUCCCCUGAAAGCACUCUCUCUACCAAGAUCCACUCCUCUUCUGGUUCCCUUUAGAAAAGAACAGGCCUCCCAGGAAUAUCAACCAAACAUAGCAUAUCAAGUUACAAUAAGACUAGGCCCAUUUCCUCCUAUUAAAGGUGGACAAGGCAAUCCGGUAGGAGAAAAGGUUUGCAAAAUCAGGGAAAAGAAUCAGAGAUAGCCCCUGCUCUCAUUUUUAUAUAGCCCACAAGGCCACCAAUCUACACAAAGACAUCAUAUGCAGAGGACCUAGGUCAGACCCAUACAGGCACCCUAAUUGUUGGUUCAACCUUUGUGAGCCCUUCUGAGCCCUGGUUAGUUGAUUCUGGGGACCAUUUUCUUGGGCACACAAUAUUUUUGAACAAAUUUUCUCUAGUUACAAUUUUGUAGGUUGUAUUUUGUCUCCCAAUCUGUUAGAAUAUUUUGGACUUUUGUGAAAUUCACUGCCAGCAAUUUAUUUCAUAAAAAGUUUCCUGUGUGUUCAGAAUGUUCGGUAUAGUUUUCAGUAAUUUAUGAUCAAUUCAUUCCAAAGCAUUCAUUGGUUUUAUCCACCUGUCUAUUUUUCCUUUUAUUAAUUCAUAAUAAAAUAAAAUCAGCUAUAUCUGUAGUUUUCUUAUGACAUAACCAGAACCUAGUAAGCAUUCCUGUAGGCAUUGAUUUUUAGCCAUUCAAUCAAUUUUAAUAAUCCACUGUGGAGAGAUGGGUGUGGUGCUGAAAUGCCCACUAAAACCCAUUAGCUUCCCAUGCAAGAAAUAUUUUCUGGGAAUGGAUCAGUUAUAGAAAUACAGACAACUAGGGAGGGAGUUGUGUUUCCCCUUUACCUAUGAAAUCAAAGCCCAUCCAAGUGUUAUGCCUUUUCAAAAUGCUUCUUGUCAGUAACAUGUUUCCUUUGUUUCAAAACCUAAGAGCUCAAUGAUCUAAGAAAACCUGUACAGCUUUCAGAGUAAAACUUUCACAUUGUGUGCAGUCUCUCAUCUCUAUAGUCUCUCUAAUAAGAAGGUCUGUACCCUGUGAGCUGGUGAAGUCAGUUUUUACUGGUGUCUACAAGACCGUGGGAAUCUACCUAACACCGCUGAGUCUGGAUGGUGUCAUCUGUAGUAAGCAAUGCACACAUCUGAGAAUACAGACCUGGAGGUCCAAGGCUUAAGGAUGCUCUGCUGGUGAGCCUGAAACCCAACCCGCCAGGACAAGUUGCUAGCUGUUUGCUGAAUGUGUAUCAUUACUCUUUCUGCAUGGGUAUUUAAGUUAUACAUCUUGAACGUGAUUUGUCUUAAAAUGGUUCUUAAUAAUAUAUGUUAUUAAUUAUAUGUUAUUUUGGAAUCAGAAAAGCCUCUAUGAAUUCAUACCUGUCCUUUAGUAUCUAGACAUAACAGCCUUUCUGACUCCUUAAAACUUGCUGUGCUUUGAACAUAACCUUUCAAAAUUCAAGUAUUGAGAAUGAGAUCGCUGUAAUGGUUGGUGACUUUAAAGAUCGACUUAACCUUUUUGAUUAAACACUGGACCCUCUGAGGCAGGCACAGAAUAAUUUUGAAAUCACUAUAUAGCAGAAGAGGACUUGGAACUUCUUGUCCUCCUGUCUCCUCUCCUAGGUGCUGGGGUUCUAGGCAUGUGCCACCACACAGAACUCCUCAUUCACUUUUAUUGUUAACUUUUAUUUGUCAUAAAAAUGUCUUCUGUUCAAAGUGUGGUUUUUAAAGCCAGGUAUUAUGCUAGUCACCCAGUUCCCAAUGUAAUGGUAGUCCUGAGCCACAUCCUGGCUGCAGCAUAAUAAGCAACCGUCUUUAAUUCCUUAAUUAUUUUCUCUCAGAUUCGUACAUUUCAAUUGUUUAUUGCCUUUAAUAUUGCCUAUUGCCUUCCCUCUGUUGUGAUCUGACAUGUGGAGCAGGCAACUCAUUCCAAAGUUCAUUUCUAAAAUAUUCCCUCCAUGGCUUGUGCAAAAAUAAGUAAUGCAGAUGAAUAUUACUAAUGAAAAUAUUGGUCUGAAAAUACUGCAUACUAUGUAAUUCCAAUAUUCUGGCAAAAACGAUUGAUCCACUAAAGAAGCAAUAGAAAUGAAGAUUUUAAAAGGGCAUGACUUAGUGAGCUGUCUCAGAGGUAAAGUUUUCUUUACACGUCUGAAGACCUGGGUUAGAUUCUCUGGCCCCAUGUUGUGAACUAAAAGAAAACUCUGACCUCCAUAUCCAUAUCUGUACACCUAUGCAAACACAAGUGUGCAUGCAUGCAUAUUCAUAUAUAUAUCAUCUAAGGUUCAUUGCUACAGCCUACAUAGAGCACCGAGGAUUUACGGGUGUGGUAUGUGCUGCUGUAAUGGAGGGUAGAUAUAUUCCCUACAUUUAAAGCCUGCACAACUCCAAGAGCCACUCAUUGUGAGCUACACACUUAUUAUGACAAUCAGGUGAAUAUAUUGACAUCUGUUCUAACAAACAUAACAUUUAUUAUACCGCUUAUAGAGUUUGGGAAUUUAAUGAGGGAGGGUAUUUAUAUGUAGGGGCAAGAGAAAUUUUGUUGUGGUCAAUUAUGUAGCAAAUAUAACAAUCCUUUUGGUGAUGUCUGUUUAGAAGAAAUAAACUAUAAUUGCUA